AGUGAACGCUGGCGGCAGGCCUAACACAUGCAAGUCGAGCGGCAGCGCGGGGGCAACCCUGGCGGCGAGCGGCGGACGGGUGAGGAAUACAUCGGAAUCUACCCAGUCGUGGGGGAUAACGUAGGGAAACUUACGCUAAUACCGCAUACGACCUGAGGGUGAAAGCAGGGGACCGCAAGGCCUUGCGCGAUUGGAUGAGCCGAUGUCCGAUUAGCUAGUUGGGGAGGUAAAGGCUCACCAAGGCGACGAUCGGUAGCUGGUCUGAGAGGAUGAUCGGCCACACUGGAACUGAGACACGGUCCAGACUCCUACGGGAGGCAGCAGUGGGGAAUAUUGGACAAUGGGCGCAAGCCUGAUCCAGCCAUGCCGCGUGUGUGAAGAAGGCCUUCGGGUUGUAAAGCACUUUUGUCCGGAAAGAAAUCCUGUCGGUUAAUACCUGGCGGGGAUGACGGUACCGGAAGAAUAAGCACCGGCUAACUUCGUGCCAGCAGCCGCCGUAACAC
rnacentral:rRNA from 1 species